AGGAGCCGCAGCACUCAAGCAACACCCAUACAGAGCCUUCACCCUGGAGCUCCAGGUAGGCGGAGUUGACUCCAAUGGGCAGUCCAAGUAGGCGGAGUUGACUCCAAUGGGCAGUUCAGGUAGGUGGAGUUGACUCCAAUGGGCAGUCCCAGUAGGUGGAGUUGACUCCAAUUGGCAGUCCAGGUAGGUGGAGUUGACUCCAAUGGGCAGUUUGAGUAGAUGGAGUUGACUCCAAUUGGCAGUCCAGGUAGGUGGAGUUGACUCCAAUGGGCAGUUUGAGUAGGUGGAGUUGACUCCAAUUGGCAGUCCAGGUAGGUGGAGUUGACUCCAAUGGGCAGUUUGAGUAGAUGGAGUUGACUCCAAUUGGCAGUCCAGGUAGGUGGAGUUGACUCCAAUGGCCAGUUCAGGUAGGUAUAGUUGACUCCAAUGGGCAGUCCCAGUAGGUGGAGUUGACUCCAAUGGUCACCAAUAGAGUCUAGAUGUAGACCUCCAGAGCUCCACCCU